GCCGGGUGUGGCGGUGCGUGCCUGUAGUCUGAGCUACUCAGGAGGCUGAGGCAGGAGAAUUGCUUGAACCUAGGAGGCAUGAGGUUGCAGUGAGCCAAGAUGGCACCAUUGCACUCCAGCCUAAGUAACAGAGUAAGACUCUGUCUCAA
ensembl:misc_RNA Metazoa_SRP Metazoan signal recognition particle RNA